CACGUAGGGCGCAAGCGUUGUCCGGAAUUAUUGGGCGUAAAGAGCUCGUAGGCGGUCUGUUACGUCUGCUGUGAAAACCCAGGGCUUAACCCUGGGCUUGCAGUGGAUACGGGCAGACUAGAGGCAGGUAGGGGAGAAUGGAAUUCCCGGUGUAGCGGUGGAAUGCGCAGAUAUCAGGAGGAACACCUGUGGCGAAAGCGGCUCACUGGACCAUAACUGACGCUGAUGCACGAAAGCUAGGGGAGCAAACAGG
rnacentral:rRNA from 1 species